rnacentral:lncRNA from 1 species
GCAGCCUGAGCCGGGCUGGGCGGCCCGAGCCCCGGAGCCGGGCUCCAGCCGUGCCCAACAGAUCUGCACACGUUUGGCCAGGCUGCCAGCUUUCUGGGGCACUUCAUCCUCAGACAACGGCCCCCAUGUCUCGGCAUGAGAAAGGACAUUGUGGACCUGACUUUCCCAUCACUCUGAUCUAGUAACGUUUUAUACCCACGGAUGUAAAUGACACACGCGGGGCAGGCAAUGGUGAAUCAGGCCCUAUGAAGGUAGGUGAAAUUCUGCCAGCUGCCCAACCUAUCGACUCCCCUUCAUUCCUGUUAACUACAUUCUAGCUCCCCCUCCUUCAGUGGAACGAGCCACUGAGCUCAGGCAAGUGGUAGGAACCACAGCAGCUGACAGUGAGAGCAGGACUGCAGCUUUUCUAGCUGUAGCCUUGUGCCUG